AUACGACCGUACCGCAAACCGACACUGGUGCGCGAGAUGAGUAUUCUAAGGCGCUUGAGAGAACUCAGGAGAAGGAACUCGGCAAAUUGACACCGUAACUUCGGAAGAAGGUGUGCCCUAUUAGUGUGUAGUGAACAACGAAGCAUGAAUGGGUUGCAAAAAAUCGGUGGCUGCGACUGUUUAUUAAAAACACAGCACUCUGCAAACACGAAAGUGGACGUAUAGGGUGUGACGCCUGCCCGGUGCUGGAAGAUUAAAUGAUGGGGUGCAAGCUCUUGAUUGAAGUCCCAGUAAACGGCGGCCGUAACAAUAACGGUCCUAAGGUAGCGAAAUUCCUUGUCGGGUAAGUUCCGACCUGCACGAAUGGCGUAACGAUGGCCACACUGUCUCCUCCUGAGACUCAGCGAAGUUGAAAUGUUUGUGAUGAUGCAAUCUCCCCGCGGAAAGACGGAAAGACCCCAUGAACCUUUACUGUAGCUUUGUAUUGGACUUUGAACAGAUCUGUGUAGGAUAGGUGGGAGGCUUUGAAGCAGGGUCGCUAGAUCUUGUGGAGCCAACGUUGAAAUACCACCCUGGUGUGUUUGAGGUUCUAACCUAGGUCCAUUAUCUGGAUCGGGGACAGUGCAUGGUAGGCAGUUUGACUGGGGCGGUCUCCUCCCAAAGCGUAACGGAGGAGUUCGAAGGUACGCUAGUUACGGUCGGACAUCGUGACGAUAGUGCAAUGGCAUAAGCGUGCUUAACUGCGAGACUGACAAGUCGAGCAGAUGCGAAAGCAGGACAUAGUGAUCCGGUGGUUCUGUAUGGAAGGGCCAUCGCUCAACGGAUAAAAGGUACUCUGGGGAUAACAGGCUGAUACCGCCCAAGAGUUCAUAUCGACGGCGGUGUUUGGCACCUCGAUGUCGGCUCAUCUCAUCCUGGGGCUGUAGCCGGUCCCAAGGGUAUGGCUGUUCGCCAUUUAAAGAGGUACGUGAGCUGGGUUUAAAACGUCGUGAGACAGUUUGGUCCCUAUCUUCCGUGGGCGCUGCAGAUUUGAGGAAGCCUGCUCCUAGUACGAGAGGACCGGAGUGGACACACCUCUGGUGUAUCGGUUGUCGCGCCAGUGGCAUUGCCGAGUAGCUAAGUGUGGAAGAGAUAACCGCUGAAAGCAUCUAAGCGGGAAACUCGUUUCAAGAUGAGAUCUGCCGGGGCCUUGAGCCCCCUAAAGAGUCGUUCAAGACCAGGACGUUGAUAGGUCAGGUGUGGAAGCG
rnacentral:rRNA from 1 species